AUUGAACGCUGGCGGCAGGCCUAACACAUGCAAGUCGAGCGAGCGGCGGACGGGUGAGUAAUGUCUGGGAAACUGCCUGAUGGAGGGGGAUAACUACUGGAAACGGUAGCUAAUACCGCAUACCAUCAGAUGUGCCCAGAUGGGAUUAGCUAGUAGGUGGGGUAAUGGCUCACCUAGGCGACGAUCCCUAGCUGGUCUGAGAGGAUGACCCGCCACAAUGGGAAUGAGACACGGGCCCGAAUCUGACGGGAGGCAGCGGUGGGGAAAAUUGCACAAUGGGCGCAAACCUGAUGAACCCACGCGGCGUGUGUGAAGAAGGCCUUCGGGUUGUAAAGCACUUUCAGCGGGGAGGCGUUACCCGCAGAAGAAGCACCGGCUAACUCCGUGCCAGCCGCCGCGGUAAUUC
rnacentral:rRNA from 1 species